CCUUUCUCCUCUUUCUCCCCGGGGGGGCUCUUUUAGGGCUAGUUUGGUAACUACAUUUUCCCAAGGGAUUCCUAUUUUCCCAAGGGAAAAUGAACUAAUUUCCCUUGCGAAAAUGAAAAUCUUGUGGGAAAAUAGGGUUCCCAAACUAGCCCUUAACGUUUGCUUUUCUAUCGCAGAGUGGCCUCCACCGCCUUCGAUCACGAGGUGUCUCCUUCUAUUAGGUCGUUGUGAUUGAGUCUACGGGACCCUCCCCCUCUUCACUUGGAGUAUUGGGGUGACCUUGCCGCUUCUCGUGCAGCCCUGGAUGUGGCCGAUGAUGAAGUAGGCCUACUUCAGGACCAGUUCACCAAGUCUGAUGGUCGAGUUGCUGUUUUGGAAAUUGAGUUGGAGAAGCUUCGUCGUUGGGCGGACUAGGUUGUGGAAUAUGUCGGAGCCCGCGGCUCUUCCUUGGUGGAAAAUUUGAAAAAUAUCUUGUGUCACAACUGGGAUAUCGUCGACUUCAGUGUACAGCGAGGGGUGAUCAAAGCCUUGGUCAUCAGGGAGCUCUUGUCUGGUUGCGAUCUCUAGGAUGUCAUUGGCCUUCCUUAGGAUAUACCGAAUGAUGGACUGGAGGAUGUCCUGGAGGGCUACGACGAGGCAGUUAGUCAUGUUGUGGAAAGGUUGUCCGCAAAUGAUAUCAUCCGCAAAGCCUGAUGAGCUCAUGAUGUAUCUCGUUUUGACAUUGUGUCUUUAUGAAGGAAUAUAAUUUUUAUUUUAGUUUCAA